rnacentral:rRNA from 1 species
UGGGGAAUCUUGCGCAAUGGGCGAAAGCCUGACGCAGCGACGCCGCGUGAGUGAUGAAGGCCUUCGGGUUGUAAAGCUCUGUGGGGAGAGAAGAAUUAGUGCAGCCUAAUACGUUGCAUGAUGACGGUAUCUCCUUAGCAAGCACCGGCUAACUCUGUGCCAGCAGCCGCGGUAAGACAGAGGGUGCAAACGUUGUUCGGAAUUACUGGGCGUAAAGCGUGUGUAGGCGGCUAGAUAAGUUGGAUGUGAAAGCCCCGGGCUCAACCCGGGAAGUGCAUUCAAAACUGUUUGGCUUGAGUACUGGAGAGGUUGGUAGAAUUCUCGGUGUAGAGGUGAAAUUCGUAGAUAUCGAGAGGAAUACCGGUGGCGAAGGCGGCCAACUGGACAGAUACUGACGCUGAGACACGAAAGCGUGGGGAGCAAACA